GAAAAAAGCACAAAUAAAUGCGUGUAAAUGUGUAUUUAGUACGCAGCAAAGUUAAUUUCAGCUUCACUGUUUUACUGUGUACAUUCCUCUGUUUCUGCUCUUUGUUGCAUAUAUUUUUACUGAUUGCUAUAUUUUCUCUUUUCAACGUUAGAUCUAGUUUUGUAUGUUAUACUUAGUUUUCUUUUUACUUAAGUAUUAGGCUUGUUAACCCGGACCUGAGUCCAAAUUUCGUUCCUUAACAUGUAAAUGUGAGCUGGUCCACACCACUGUGAUGGGUCUGAGACCCACUACAGACAGAUGGUCCACAAACUGACUCAGUGGUGCUCCAGGAACCACCUUAUCUUGAACACCAGCAAGAUAGGAGAUCCAGGAAGACUGGGGGAGGCGGAGGAGCAUGUAAACAGCAUAAAGUUCCUGAACAUUCACAUUUCUCUGACCUCUCCUGGACUGUGAACACCUCCCAUCUGGUAAAGCAGGACCAACAGUGGCUCUUCUUUCUCAGGAAGCUGAUCCAACUGGACUCUCUACUCAGCUGCUCAAAAACUGAAAGCAUCCUGUGCCUUAGUGUGACAGUGUGGUACAGGAGCUCCACAGGAGACAAAGGACUUAGCACGGGUCGUAAGGACAGCACAGGGGAUUGUGGGAUGUUGUCUACUGGAUCUGGAAGAGGUUUAUGCGGCACGAGUCCAGAAAAGAGCCAGACACAUUGCUACAUACCACACCCACCCAGGCAACGCACUGUUUGUCCCACUUCCUUAAGGAAAACGAUUCAGGAACAUCACAUCAAAAACAACUGAACUCAGAGUUUCUUUCCUAAAAUAGUGAAGGCUGUCAUCCCCCUGCAGGCAGACACAAAAAAAUCCCUGCUGACAACCAGCCCAUCUCAGACUGUUUCAGCACAAGCUGCACUUCAUGUAAAUACCAGAUACUACAUGCCACAUUCCAUGUUCUCUUUUUCUAGAAGUGUUUUUACAUUUUCUAAAUGUCUAUAACCUACAUUUGUAUCUUUUGAGCCGAAUCUCAGCUAAAUUUCACUAUGGUGACAUAAUGACAAUAAAGAGUCUUGAAUCCUUGUAAUUAUAUAUAAAUAAUAAUUUAGCAUGAAAGAAAAUACAUUUUUAAUUUGCUCCACUAGAUGGCAGCAAUGCAACACUGACGUCGCCCUGUGAAGAGCAUCAGGGUUAGUCGAUGUGGAGCCGAUCUUCUUACCAGGAGGCCAAUUAUUAUGUAAAUGCUCUACAACAUAUUCCAGAAACGUGUUAAAAAAAAAAAAAAAAAACUUCUAAAAGCAGAAAUAAACAUCAGAGUUUUUUAUCCUGAAUCUGAAGCUAAACCCGAACAAUUUAGCUUUUGAUAAAUCUUUGUACAGGAUUGCUCGUUUCAACUGUCCUGAUAAUCCCUCUUUCAUCUCCUUAAAUAUCACCAUUCCCAUAGCAACUUCACUGGUUACCAUACCAACAUUUCCUUCAUCCUGCUCCUUUCUUCUGCCCAUAAAUCCUCAUUUAUUUGCACUAAUUGGAACAAAACGUUCCAGACAGCCAUCUGUUGUUGCUGUGAACGCUUCUGUUUGUGAAUGAAGUCCCCAACAUCUUCUCAGACGCUCAUCACAGAUUCAUUCACUGUAUGGACUUCUUCUUCUCCUCCUUCUACGGCUCUACCUGCCAAACAACCACAAACCCCUCAGAGGAUCACGCUCUGAUUGGUCGGAUCAUUAAUUGCCUAGCAACCAGGCAGGAGAGCAGGAUGAAGCCGGCGUUGCAGCUGUAAUGAAGAACCGUCCCUUCUACUGGGGGCCCGGGAGGCCUCGCCGUCACUCUGCCGUUCUCCAGGGACGUCCACACCCUCGGGCACAGCAGCACUGAGAAGAUGAAGGAAAAGACAUUUGUUGAAAGGCCUCUGUAGCGGAUCCCUCCAUCCCUCGGAGGCCGGAUAAUGGCACAGCCUGCACAUCAAGACAGGAAGAUGAAGGACAGCAAGAGGACACGAUAACAGCUCUGUCUUCAGGUAAAGUAGAUACAUCACAGUAGCAUGAGAUGUUAUCGUUUAAGCCAAAGCAUGCCUCGCUGCACAAAUUACAGCCUUUCAUUCAGGUCACUUAGGAAUCUCUGCGGAGCUCCCGCUGUCCGUCAUUACAAACGCACAGAAAG